ACGAACGCUGGCGGCGUGCCUAAUACAUGCAAGUAGAACGCUGAAGAGAGGAGCUUGCUCUUCUUGGAUGAGUUGCGAACGGGUGAGUAACGCGUAGGUAACCUGCCUUGUAGCGGGGGAUAACUAUUGGAAACGAUAGCUAAUACCGCAUAACAAUGGAUGACACAUGUCAUUUAUUUGAAAGGGGCAAUUGCUCCACUACAAGAUGGACCUGCGUUGUAUUAGCUAGUAGGUGAGGUAACGGCUCACCUAGGCGACGAUACAUAGCCGACCUGAGAGGGUGAUCGGCCACACUGGGACUGAGACACGGCCCAGACUCCUACGGGAGGCAGCAGUAGGGAAUCUUCGGCAAUGGGGGCAACCCUGACCGAGCAACGCCGCGUGAGUGAAGAAGGUUUUCGGAUCGUAAAGCUCUGUUGUAAGUCAAGAACGAGUGUGAGAGUGGAAAAUUCACACUGUGACGGUAGCUUACCAGAAAGGGACGGCUAACUACGUGCCAGCAGCCGCGGUAAUACGUAGGUCCCGAGCGUUGUCCGGAUUUAUUGGGCGUAAAGCGAGCGCAGGCGGUUUGAUAAGUCGGAAGUUAAAGGCUGUGGCUCAACCAUAGUUCGCUUUGGAAACUGUCAAACUUGAGUGCAGAAGGGGAGAGUGGAAUUCCAUGUGUAGCGGUGAAAUGCGUAGAUAUAUGGAGGAACACCGGUGGCGAAAGCGGCUCUCUGGUCUGUAACUGACGCUGAGGCUCGAAAGCGUGGGGAGCGAACAGGAUUAGAUACCCUGGUAGUCCACGCCGUAAACGAUGAGUGCUAGGUGUUGGAUCCUUUCCGGGAUUCAGUGCCGCAGCUAACGCAUUAAGCACUCCGCCUGGGGAGUACGACCGCAAGGUUGAAACUCAAAGGAAUUGACGGGGGCCCGCACAAGCGGUGGAGCAUGUGGUUUAAUUCGAAGCAACGCGAAGAACCUUACCAGGUCUUGACAUCCCGAUGCUAUUUCUAGAGAUAGAAAGUUACUUCGGUACAUCGGUGACAGGUGGUGCAUGGUUGUCGUCAGCUCGUGUCGUGAGAUGUUGGGUUAAGUCCCGCAACGAGCGCAACCCCUAUUGUUAGUUGCCAUCAUUCAGUUGGGCACUCUAGCGAGACUGCCGGUAAUAAACCGGAGGAAGGUGGGGAUGACGUCAAAUCAUCAUGCCCCUUAUGACCUGGGCUACACACGUGCUACAAUGGUUGGUACAACGAGUUGCGAGUCGGUGACGGCAAGCUAAUCUCUUAAAGCCAAUCUCAGUUCGGAUUGUAGGCUGCAACUCGCCUACAUGAAGUCGGAAUCGCUAGUAAUCGCGGAUCAGCACGCCGCGGUGAAUACGUUCCCGGGCCUUGUACACACCGCCCGUCACACCACGAGAGUUUGUAACACCCGAAGUCGGUGAGGUAACCUUUUGGAGCCAGCCGCCUAAGGUGGGAUAGAUGAUUGGGGUG
rnacentral:rRNA from 1 species